rnacentral:rRNA from 1 species
AACGAACGCUGGCGGCGUGCCUAACACAUGCAAGUCGAGCGCGAAUGGAGCAAUCCUAGUAGAGCGGCGCACGGGUGCGUAACACGUGGGUAAUCUGCCUCAGAGACUGGAAUAACCUGCCGAAAGGCUGGCUAAUACCAGAUAAGCCUACGGACUCUUCGGAGUCUGAAGGAAAAGGUGGCCUCUGUAUACAAGCUAUCACUCUGAGAUGAGCCCGCGGCCCAUCAGCUAGUUGGCGGGGUAAUGGCCCACCAAGGCAACGACGGGUAGCUGGUCUGGGAGGACGAUCAGCCACACUGGAACUGAGACACGGUCCAGACUCCUACGGGAGGCAGCAGUGGGGAAUUUUGCACAAUGGGCGAAAGCCUGAUGCAGCAACGCCGCGUGUGUGAUGAAGGUCUUCGGAUUGUAAAGCACUUUCG